rnacentral:tRNA from 1 species
GCACCCGUAGCUCAGAUGGAUAGAGCACUUCCCUCCGAAGGAAGAGGUCGUAGGUUCGAAUCCUAUCGGGUGCGCCA